rnacentral:tRNA from 1 species
CGGAAAGCAAGCUAAGUCCAUGGACAAUCGAGAAGAAAAGCCAUUGCAACGUCCGGUCUGGGGGACCGGGGGUCGGGAGUUCAAAUCUCCCCGCUCCGACCA